GAUCUAGCUCAGGAUGAACGCUAGCUACAGGCUUAACACAUGCAAGUCGAGGGGCAGCAUGGUCUUAGCUUGCUAAGGCUGAUGGCGACCGGCGCACGGGUGAGUAACACGUAUCCAACCUGCCGUCUACUCUUGGCCAGCCUUCUGAAAGGAAGAUUAAUCCAGGAUGGCAUCAUGAGUUCACAUGUCCGCAUGAUUAAAGGUAUUUUCCGGUAGACGAUGGGGA
rnacentral:rRNA from 1 species